UACAGAGGUCUCAAGCGUUGUUCGGAAUCACUGGGCGUAAAGUGUGCGCAGGCGGCGUCGCAAGUCGAGUGUGAAAGCCCCGGGCUUAACUUGGGAAUUGCGCUCGAAACUACGAUGCUGGAGUGUGGCAGAGGAAGGUGGAAUUCCACGUGUAGCGGUGAAAUGCGUAGAGAUGUGGAGGAACACCAAUGGCGAAGGCAGCCUUCUGGGCCAACACUGACGCUCAUGCACGAAAGCGUGGGGAGCAAACAGG
rnacentral:rRNA from 1 species